rnacentral:rRNA from 1 species
AGGUAGCGAAAUUCCUUGUCGGGUAAGUUCCGACCUGCACGAAUGGCGUAACGAUGGCCACACUGUCUCCUCCCGAGACUCAGCGAAGUUGAAAUGUUUGUGAUGAUGCAAUCUACCCGCGGCUAGACGGAAAGACCCCAUGAACCUUUACUGCAGCUUUGCAUUGAACUGUGAACCGAUUUGUGUAGGAUAGGUGGGAGGCAGAGAAGAGGCCACGCCAGUGGUCUUGGAGCCGACCUUGAAAUACCACCCUGAUUUGUUUGCGGUUCUAACCACGGACAGUGAUCCUGUCUUGGGACCGUGCAUGGUAGGCAGUUUGACUGGGGCGGUCUCCUCCUAAAGGGUAACGGAGGAGUACGAAGGUACGCUAGGUACGGUCGGAAAUCGUGCUGAUAGUGCAAUGGCAAAAGCGUGCUUGACUGCGAGAGCAACAACUCGAGCAGAUGCGAAAGCAGGUCAUAGUGAUCCGGUGGCUCUGAAUGGAAGGGCCAUCGCUCAACGGAUAAAAGGUACUCUGGGGAUAACAGGCUGAUACCGCCCAAGAGUUCAUAUCGACGGCGGUGUUUGGCACCUCGAUGUCGGCUCAUCUCAUCCUGGGGCUGUAGUCGGUCCCAAGGGUAUGGCUGUUCGCCAUUUAAAGAGGUACGUGAGCUGGGUUUAAAACGUCGUGAGACAGUUUGGUCCCUAUCUGCCGUGGGCGUUGGAAGAUUGACGGGGGCUGCUCCUAGUACGAGAGGACCGGAGUGGACGCACCUCUGGUGUACCGGUUGUCACGCCAGUGGCAUUGCCGGGUAGCUAAGUGCGGAAGAGAUAACCGCUGAAAGCAUCUAAGCGGGAAACUUGCCUGAAGAUGAGUCUUCCCGGAGGUUGAACCUCCCUCAAGAGUCGUCCGAGACCAGGACGUCGAUAGGUCAGGUGUGUAAGCGCUGUAAGGCGUUGAGCUAACUGAUACUAAUUGCUCGUGAGGCUUGAUCCU